AACCCCCCCCCUGCGCAAAGGGUUACCCCCAGGGGCCCCCGAAAAAAGGGGGUUUUUCCUGGGCCUAAAMCCCCUAGGGAAUAAGAGGGGGGCAAGACUGGUGUCAGCCGCCGCGGUAACACCAGCCCCUCGAGUGGUGGGGAUGAUUAUUUGGCCUAAAGCGUCCGUAGCGGGCCGGGUAAGUCUCCCGUUAAAUCCAGCGUCUCAAGCGUUGGACUGCGGGAGAUACUGUCUGGCUAGAGAGUGGGAGAGGUGUACGGUAUUCUGGGGGUAGGGGCGAAAUCCUUUGAUCCCCGGAGGACCACCAGUGGCGAAGGCUGUACACUAGAACACGUCUGACGGUCAGGGACGAAAGCUGGGGUAGCGAACCGGAUUAGAUACCCGGGUAGUCCCAGCCGUAAACGAUGCACGCUAGGUGUUGGGGCGGCCACGAGCCGCCCCAGUGCCGCAGGGAAACCGUUAAGCGUGCCGCCUGGGGAGUACGGCCGCMAGGAUGAAACUUAAAAGAAUUUGGGGGGGA
rnacentral:rRNA from 1 species